ACGCUCGACACCUACGGGUGGCAGCAGUCGGGAAUAUUGCGCAAUGGAGGAAACUCUGACGCAGUGACGCCGCGUAUAGGAAGAAGGUUUUCGGAUUGUAAACUAUUGUCGUUAGGGAAGAAAAAAGACAGUACCUAAGGAGGAAGCUCCGGCUAACUACGUGCCAACAGCCGCGGUAAUCUGAGCGGGCUGGCAAGGC
rnacentral:rRNA from 1 species